rnacentral:rRNA from 1 species
AACGAACGCUGGCGGCAGGCUUAACACAUGCAAGUCGAGCGCCCCGCAAGGGGAGCGGCAGACGGGUGAGUAACGCGUGGGAACGUGCCCUUUGGUUCGGAACAACUCCGGGAAACUGGAGCUAAUACCGGAUAAGCCCUUCGGGGGAAAGAUUUAUCGCCAAAGGAUCGGCCCGCGUCUGAUUAGCUAGUUGGUGAGGUAAUGGCUCACCAAGGCGACGAUCAGUAGCUGGUCUGAGAGGAUGAUCAGCCACACUGGGACUGAGACACGGCCCAGACUCCUACGGGAGGCAGCAGUGGGGAAUAUUGGACAAUGGGGGAAACCCUGAUCUAGCCAUGCCGCGUGAUCGAUGAAGGCCUUAGGGUUGUAAAGAUCUUUCAGUGGGGAAGAUAAUGACUGUACCCACAGAAGAAGCCCCGGCUAACUCCGUGCCAGCAGCCGCCGUAAUAC